UACGUAGGGUGCAAGCGUUAAUCGGAAUUACUGGGCGUAAAGCGUGCGCAGGCGGCUUUGCAAGACAGAUGUGAAAUCCCCGGGCUUAACCUGGGAACUGCAUUUGUGACUGCAUGGCUGGAGUGCGGGCAGAGGGGGGAUGGAAAUUCCGGCGUGUAGCAGUGAAAAUGCGUAGAUAUGCGGGAGGAACACCGAUGGCGAAGGCAAUCCCCUGGGCCUGCACUGACGCUCAUGCACGAAGCGUGGGGAGCGAAACAAG
rnacentral:rRNA from 1 species